rnacentral:sRNA from 1 species
GCUUGGUGCAGUGGUGCACGCCUGUAAUCCUAGCAGCUCAGGAGGCUGAGGCAGGAGAAUCACAAGUUCAAAGCCAGCCUCAGCAAAAGUGAUGUGCUAAGCAACUCAGUGAGACCCUGUCUCUA